rnacentral:misc_RNA from 1 species
AUCCUCAGUUACCACUUGCGACUGGGUUAUCCCUGAAUUCGCCGUGACACCUUUCCUGCCAACUUCAACACAGACUAAGGAUGUUGGUUCACUUGAUAUGUCUACUGAGCCACUAAGACGUAGACAUCAUGUGCUAUCUGGGAUAAGACCAGCUACCUUAGGCCGUCGAAACCAACAAUUUGAAGACGACAUUGGAAGGAAUGUGGCUACAGUGACCGAGGAUACUAUUUGUGACGCUAUGGAAGGAGACGAUUGGACACAGCCCCAUCCGACUGCAGAGAUCCACACCAAUGGCAUGGUUGAACAAGGAGUGGACCAUACACAUACGAAGCCAACGUUCAUUUCCAAUGGUGAUGAUGAUGAGGGUGUCAUAUUCGAAGAGGCUGAGGAUGAUGAUGAGAACGAUGGAUACCUAUUCGCUGGGCAAUAUGAUGAGAUCGGCGAGGACAUCGAGAUUGAUGGUACUCAAGAUGAAUCUACUGCCACUGGUUUGCCUGACCCGUAUGACAAAGUGUACAGUAAUGUGCCUGAAGACACACAUAUGCUGAAGUCUGUUCCCAACUGCGGUUAUUGCACUGCGAAGAAGUUUGAGUAUGAGCCAC